rnacentral:rRNA from 1 species
CCUACGGGAGGCAGCAGUGGGGGAUAUUGCACAAUGGGCGCAAGCCUGAUGCAGCAACGCCGCGUGAACGAAGAAGUCUUUCGGGUUGUAAAGUUCUUUCGACAGGGAAGAGGAGAUGACGGUACCUGACGAAGAAGCCACGGCUAAAUACGUGCCAGCAGCCGCGGUAAUACGUAGGUGGCAAGCGUUGUCCGGAUUUACUGGGUGUAAAGGGCGGGAAGGCGGGUCGACAAGCCAGAUGUGAAAGCCCGCGGCCUAACCGCAGGACUGCAUUGGGAACUGUUGAGCUUGAGUACUGGAGAGGUAGGCGGAAUUCCUAGUGUAGCGGUGAAAUGCGUAGAUAUUAGGAGGAACACCAGUGGCGAAGGCGGUCUGCUGGACAGCAACUGACGGUGAGGCGCGAAAGCGUGGGGAUCAAACAGGAUUAGAUACCCCAGUAGUC